GUCCCGUUCGUCUAGAGGCCCAGGACGCUGCCCUCUCACGGCGGUAACAGGGGUUCGAAUCCCCUACGGGACGCCA
rnacentral:tRNA from 6 species